UUUGAAACCACACAUAUUUCUAAACAUACAGAAGCAUAAGAUGUUAGCUAGUUCUGGAUGAUGAUAGCACAUGCUAGCUGUAGAGAUCUUUUAGAAACCACACGGGUAGUCAGUAACAUAACAUGUUAGCUUGUUCUGGAUGAUGAUAGCACAUGCUAGCUGUAAAGAUCUUUUAGAAACCACACGGACAGUCAGUAACAUAAGAUGCUAGCUAGUUCUGGAUGAUGAUAGCACAUGCUAGCUGUAAAGAUCUUUUAGAAACCACACGGGUAGUCAGUAACAUAACAUGUUAGCUAGUUCUGGAUGAUGAUAGCACAUGCUAGCUGUAGAGAUCUUUUAGAAACCACACUGGUAGUCUGCACUAAAUUUUGAUUGAUACUUUCUCUUCAGAUUAUAAACUAUUACUGUUCCACAAAUGUUAAUCAGCUGUUCUAUUUCUCCUCUGUGUGCUAGCAAGUGCUAAUCAAUGCUAAUUAGCAUCCAUCUUUUGUGCUGUAGAGAAUGUCAGGUCUGCUGAGAGUGCCUCCUCUAAAAUCCACUAGAAUCACAUCAGAACCAAUUCAUAUGAAGACGAGAAAAAAUAUCAUUCAUUCAUGUUCAGAAAUCUUAGGGUCAUGGUACACCUGGUUGAAAAAAAGACAUUUUAAUUGAAAAAAAAAAAAGAAAGAAAAAAAAAAGGGUGUUAGUGUUCAUGUGUAUGGACAAACGUAUUCAUAAAGGAGCAUUUACACAAGAAAUUUGGUAUCCAUGAAAAUCCAGUUAGUUCGGGAUAAUGUUUGUAUCCGAUUAGAGCUCCUGAGUCUGUGUAAAUUUCAAUAUAAACAGUUCAGUUGUUGUGCCUCCUAUCCAGAUCAAUGCCACUUUGUAACCAUCAGAUUGCACCGUUAAAUCAACACCUGACGGAAAUGACGCGGCCCAAAGCGUCUUAUGUUUUUGCUCGUGUGCAGACGUUUUCAGACGUUUCAGUGUGGACAAGACAUUUUGUGAAGACAUUUGAAAAUCCAGAUUAAUGUGGACGUAGCCUGACUAAGCCUAUCGACCCUCCUAACAGAAACUGAAGGAUACCCUGAGAAUCCGAGCUUAUAGAAGUUACUCAAGAUGUACAAGUAUUCCUUUAGGGUCUAUAUGCUAACGUGAAUCCCCAAAUUUAAACUGAUGCAUAAAUUAUUAUCCUAUGGAAAGGGGCAAAACAAAUCUAACUGGUAUACAUGGAAGAUAAGCGGUCGGACAGUACAGGACAGAAUAAUGAGGAAAUUAACGACCAUUUAC
ensembl:lncRNA